rnacentral:rRNA from 1 species
GCACCACAAGAGCGUGGAGUAUGUGGCUUAAUUUGACUCAACGCGGAAAAGCUUAUCUGGUCCGGACGCAGUGAGGAUUGACAGACAGUUUCAGGAGUGGUUCUUGGUAAACAAUUGAGAGAGUUGAAGUUCUUUCAUGAUCUUGUGAGAGGUGGUGCAUGGCCGUUCUUAGUUCGUGUAGUGAUAUGUCUGCCUAAUCGCGUCACGAUAACCUAUUGGUCGACAACCCAAUUAUCACAACUGCAGCAUAACUCCCCUUGGGUGGGCGAGGCUCUGUGUAGGAUAGACCUCUGAACAGUACGCAACGAACGCGAUCGUAAUCCCUUGUUGAGUGGCCAUCCUGUAAGCUGCUGGAUUAGGAACCCAGUGGUAUUAUCUCAGCCACAGAUUUUCUGGUUGUAAUGGGCCAGUUUUGAAACUCGGGGGAACAUCUGUGACUUUCUUUCUUAACGCA